UCCUCUUUUCCUUGAGUUCGGUCAAUUGGAGUUUUAGGAGGCACAGACGAUUCUUAACGUUUUCUUCUUCAGCAGUUCGGUCAGAAAACUUCUCCGGAGGUCCCGUUAGUUUGAUUUUGUAUGGAGCUACAGGUGCAAAGGCUCAUUGUCAAGUUACGGGAGCACAGAGGAAUAUGUUUAUAAGUUGAGUUGUUAGGAUUUGUUUUCCCCUCGCCUUGUUAGUUAGAGUUUUUAGAGGGGUAGGAUUUGUUUUUGGGAAUCUUGAAAUAAGUUUAUGUAUUUAAUACUAUGUGAAUAUAUAUACUUUUGUGAUUUAGUGGCGUAAAAUAAAGUCUCUUUUCGUUUUCUUAA